rnacentral:rRNA from 1 species
UACGUAGGGUGCAAGCGUUAAUCGGAAUUACUGGGCGUAAAGCGUGCGCAGGCGGUUAUGUAAGACAGAGGUGAAAUCCCCGGGCUCAACCUGGGAACUGCCUUUGUGACUGCAUAGCUAGAGUACGGCAGAGGGGGAUGGAAUUCCGCGUGUAGCAGUGAAAUGCGUAGAUAUGCGGAGGAACACCGAUGGCGAAGGCAGCCCCCUGGGUCAAGAUUGACGCUCAUGCACGAAAGCGUGGGGAGCAAACAGGAUUAGAACCUAC